GCUAAAGGCUGAUAUUCUGCUAUUUAAAUUAUAUUCUCACAAAAAAGAAGAAUAGAUAAAUUUCCUUUUUCUAAAAAAAAAAAAAUUCUAGCUUGGGCCUUCUCCUUCAACUAUGUCAAGGGCUAGGCCAAGAUUUGACCUCCCUUUCACAGAAUUGAUCUUUUCCAACUUCAGACCAGCUCUGAACCUUGCAAUGAAGUUCUCAGCCUUUGUGUUCACGUCAGGACUUGGA
rnacentral:misc_RNA from 1 species